UGGAAGCCGGUGCGGACGGUCCGUUCGCCAAUCCGGUCAGGUCCGGAAGGAAGCAGCCGUAACGAAUUCGGUCCGGGUCGUGCCGGUUUCCACCU
rnacentral:SRP_RNA from 1 species